rnacentral:rRNA from 1 species
UACGUAGGUGGCAAGCGUUGUCCGGAAUUAUUGGGCGUAAAGCGCGCGCAGGCGGUCCUUUAAGUCUGAUGUGAAAGCCCACGGCUCAACCGUGGAGGGUCAUUGGAAACUGGGGGACUUGAGUACAGAAGAGAAGAGUGGAAUUCCUGGUGUAGCGGUGAAAUGCGCAAAUAUCAGGAGGAACACCAGCGGCGAAGGCGGCGCCUCUGGGCCGGAACUGACGCUGAGGAGCGAAAGCGUGGGUAGCAAACAGG